GGGUGACCCCUACUCCCACCCCACCUUUCUCCAGGUGGAGCCAGAGGAGCCAGCAAGUCCGGACUCGCUGAGGGGGCUCCACGCGGGUCCUCCUUCACACAGCAGGGGCGUGGCCUGAGGAAAGCACUCUGAGAAGCUGGGCCAGCCUGGGUGGGAAGAGCUGGAGCAGGAGGG
rnacentral:lncRNA from 1 species